rnacentral:rRNA from 1 species
GACGAACGCUGGCGGCGUGCUUAACACAUGCGAGUCGAACGGAAAGGCCCUGCUUUUGUGGGGUGCUCGAGUGGCGAACGGGUGAGUAACACGUGAGUAACCUGCCCUUGACUUUGGGAUAACUUCAGGAAACUGGGGCUAAUACCGGAUAGGAGCUCCUGCUGCAUGGUGGGGGUUGGAAAGUUUCGGCGGUUGGGGAUGGACUCGCGGCUUAUCAGCUUGUUGGUGGGGUAGUGGCUUACCAAGGCUUUGACGGGUAGCCGGCCUGAGAGGGUGACCGGCCACAUUGGGACUGAGAUACGGCCCAGACUCCUACGGGAGGCAGCAGUGGGGAAUAUUGCACAAUGGGCGGAAGCCUGAUGCAGCAACGCCGCGUGCGGGAUGACGGCCUUCGGGUUGUAAACCGCUUUCGCCUGUGACGAAGCGUGAGUGACGGUAAUGGGUAAAGAAGCACCGGCUAACUACGUGCCAGCAGCCGCGGUGAUACGUAGGGUGCGAGCGUUGUCCGGAUUUAUUGGGCGUAAAGGGCUCGUAGGUGGUUGAUCGCGUCGGAAGUGUAAUCUUGGGGCUUAACCCUGAGCGUGCUUUCGAUGCGGGUUGACUUGAGGAAGGUAGGGGAGUAUGGAAUUCCUGGUGGAGCGGUGGAAUGCGCAGAUAUCAGGAGGAACACCAGUGGCGAAGGCGGUUCUCUGGGCCUUUCCUGACGCUGAGGAGCGAAAGCGUGGGGAGCGAACAGGCUUAGAUACCCUGGUAGUCCACGCUGUAAACGGUGGGUACUAGGUGUGGGGUCCAUUCCACGGGUUCCGUGCCGUAGCUAACGCUUUAAGUACCCCGCCUGGGGAGUACGGCCGCAAGGCUAAAACUCAAAGGAAUUGACGGGGCCCCGCACAAGCGGCGGAGCAUGCGGAUUAAUUCGAUGCAACGCGUAGAACCUUACCUGGGUUUGACAUGGAUCGGGAGUGCUCAGAGAUGGGUGUGCCUCUUUUGGGGUCGGUUCACAGGUGGUGCAUGGCUGUCGUCAGCUCGUGUCGUGAGAUGUUGGGUUAAGUCCCGCAACGAGCGCAACCCUUGUUCACUGUUGCCAGCACGUUAUGGUGGGGACUCAGUGGAGACCGCCGGGGUCAACUCGGAGGAAGGUGGGAUGACGUCAAGUCAUCAUGCCCCUUAUGUCCAGGGCUUCACGCAUGCUACAAUGGCUGGUACAGAGAGUGGCGAGCCUGUGAGGGUGAGCGAAUCUCGGAAAGCCGGUCUCAGUUCGGAUUGGGGUCUGCAACUCGACCUCAUGAAGUCGGAGUCGCUAGUAAUCGCAGAUCAGCAACGCUGCGGUGAAUACGUUCCCGGG